CCUACGGGAGGCAGCAGUGGGGAAUAUUGCACAAUGGGCGAAAGCCUGAUGCAGCAACGCCGCGUGAAGGAAGAAGGGUUUCGGCUCGUAAACUUCUAUCAACAGGGACGAAAGAAAUGACGGUACCUGAAUAAGAAGCCCCGGCUAACUACGUGCCAGCAGCCGCGGUAAUACGUAGGGGGCAAGCGUUAUCCGGAAUUACUGGGUGUAAAGGGUGAGUAGGCGGCAUGGUAAGCCAGAUGUGAAAGCCUUGGGCUUAACCCGAGGAUUGCAUUUGGAACUAUCAAGCUAGAGUACAGGAGAGGAAAGCGGAAUUCCUAGUGUAGCGGUGAAAUGCGUAGAUAUUAGGAAGAACACCAGUGGCGAAGGCGGCUUUCUGGACUGAAACUGACGCUGAGGCACGAAAGCGUGGGGAGCGAACAGGAUUAGAUACCCCAGUAGUC
rnacentral:rRNA from 1 species